GACGAACGCUGGCGGCGUGCCUAACACAUGCAAGUCGAACGCUGAGGCUUGGUGUUCGCGCUCGGUGGCUGGGUGGCGAACGAGUGAGUAAUUAGUGAGUAACCAGCCCUUGACUCAGUGAUAAGCAAGAGAAACUGGGUCUAAUACUUGAUACAUCAUGUAACCGCAUGGUGGUGUGUGGAAAGGGAUUUACUGGAAUUGGAUGGGAUGACGGCCUAUCAGCUUGUAGGAGGAGUAAUGGCGGACGAAGGCGUCGCAGGGUAGCCGGCCUGAGAGGGUGACCAGCCACACUGGGACUGAGACACGGCCCAGACGCCUACGGGAGGCAGCAGUGGGGAAUAUUGCGCAAUAAGGGGAAGCCUGAUGCAGCGACGCCGCGUGAGGAAUGACGGCCUGCGGGUGGUAAACCUCGUACAGCGCGGAAGAAGCGAGUGUGACGGUACGUGCAGAAGAAGCCCCGGCUAACUACGUG
rnacentral:rRNA from 1 species